GAUGAACGCUGGCGGCGUGCUUAACACAUGCAUGUCGAACGAAGCAUUUGCGACAGAUUUUUUCGGAAUGAAGUUGCUUAUGACUGAGUGGCGGACGGGUGAGUAACGCGUGGGUAACCUGCCUUGUACUGGGGGAUAGCAGCUGGAAACGGCUGGUAAUACCGCAUAAGCGCACAAUGUUGCAUGACAUGGUGUGAAAAACUCCGGUGGUAUAAGAUGGACCCGCGUCUGAUUAGCUAGUUGGUGAGAUAACAGCCCACCAAGGCGACGAUCAGUAGCCGACCUGAGAGGGUGACCGGCCACAUUGGGACUGAGACACGGCCCAGACUCCUACGGGAGGCAGCAGUGGGGAAUAUUGCACAAUGGAGGAAACUCUGAUGCAGCGACGCCGCGUGAGUGAAGAAGUAAUUCGUUAUGUAAAGCUCUAUCAGCAGGGAAGAUAGUGACGGUACCUGACUAAGAAGCUCCGGCUAAAUACGUG
rnacentral:rRNA from 1 species